GGCCGCGGGAAUUCGAUUCAGGCCUAACACAUGCAAGUCGAACGAUGAAGCCGGAGCUUGCUCCGGUGGAUUAGUGGCGAACGGGUGAGUAACACGUGAGCAAUCUGCCCUUGACUCUGGGAUAACUGCGGGAAACUGUAGCUAAUACCGGAUACGACACCUUGGGGCAUCCCAGGGUGUGGAAAGAAUUUCGGUCAAGGAUGAGCUCGCGGCCUAUCAGCUAGUUGGUGAGGUAAUGGCUCACCAAGGCGACGACGGGUAGCCGGCCUGAGAGGGUGACCGGCCACACUGGAACUGAGACACGGUCCAGACUCCUACGGGAGGCAGCAGUGGGGAAUAUUGCACAAUGAGGGAAAGCCUGAUGCAGCAA
rnacentral:rRNA from 1 species